rnacentral:rRNA from 1 species
UACAGAGGGGGCAAGCGUUAUUCGGAAUUAUUGGGCGUAAAGAGCGUGUAGGCGGUUUGGUAGGUCCGCUGUGAAAACUCGAGGCUCAACCUCGAGACGCCGGUGGAAACCAUCAGGCUAGAGUCCGGAAGAGGAGAGCGGAAUUCCUGGUGUAGCGGUGAAAUGCGCAGAUAUCAGGAAGAACACCCGUGGCUAAGGCGGCUCUCUAGUACGGUACUGACGCUGAGACGCGAAAGCGUGGGGAGCGAACAGG